rnacentral:lncRNA from 1 species
AGACAGGCUCAGCUCCCAGCUGCAACUGGCAGGUCUGAGGCUCAGUUCUCACAGAAGAGCAAACCCACCAAGGGCAGCGCUCGCCUCCGGAGCCAUGUGCUGGCCUGGGGAGCCUGCCACCUCGAGGGCCCAACAACUUCUCAGAGUGGGGGAGGGGCCCGGCAUCUCCUGAGCCGCAGCUCCCCGAAGCUCCUGGCUGAUAUCCACCGACCUGUGAUGUCAUCCACAAACACAUGGAAGGCAAAAGUGCCUCUCCCUGGGAAUGAAAGGGCAGGGGCUGGGCUAGUCACCGCAUGGGAAGCAGAAACCAGACACAGACAGAGAGAGCACCCAGAAGAAAUCAGAGCACAGCCAAACUUCUAAUCAGAUCUCGUUACAGAUGGUUGUGAGCCACCAUGUGGUUGCUGGGAUUUGAACUCUGGACCUUCGGAAGAGCAGUCGGGUGCUCUUACCCACUGAGCCAUCUCACCAGCCCCAAGAGGUAAGAUGCAAAAGGAAGGUCCAGCCUUCUGGAGUAUGCAGAAGGUUUGACAAAGGCUGUCGUGGGGCUAAAUGAAUGUGAUCAUCCAGAGAUAAAUAAGGAGAAGAAAAGCUAUGGAUUCCUUCAAAAUGAAUGAAAAUCAGAUUUGAUCAGGGGAGACCCCCUGAAGAUCCUGACUGCAGACAUGAAAGAAAUCAAGAAUACCAACAAAACAGACAGGUCAGCUCCAGGCAGCACCCCCAUUCUACUUCAUAGAAGAUGAUGAGCAUCGAGAACCUCUGUACGGAGUUUGCUUCAAAUGUGGCAAACAAGCCACUGGGCAAGAAACUGCCCUUGCUUCAGCCGCUGACAGUAUGCUGUCCAAACUGGACCAACAGGAUGCAGGAGUUGCCCUGGUCCCAGUGUCUCUUCACAACAGUGAACAGUGUCUAAACAGGUUUCAAAUUUUGAUUGGUUGGAUGAAGCAUCUAUCAAAAGAUGGCUUAUUGAAAGAGUUGGAGAUGCCUGAUACCCCUUGGCUUAGUGCUGCUGAAGGGAUUUUAAGGCUCAGGGAAUUGCAGUGCUCGAGUGGGUACGCUGUGUAAAACCUCCACAACGUGAAGGCCCAGAAGACACGCCCUUCACAAAUCCUGUAAGACACAAAAUGGUGCACCAGCACAUUUGAAGAGUUUUGCCCUUUUCCUUGUGCCAGACCUAAGGGCUGGAGAUGCUGCUGCUCAGUGGAUGAAUUAAAUGCAAUGGGUUUAACUGGGGCACAGAGUAGCAGGGCCAGGUGGCAGCACUGAAUUAACUAAGGCAAGGUGAUCAUAGUUAUUCCAAUGAGCAGCACAACAACAAAGCAAUGAUCGUAAUAGCCUGCCAUGAUGGUCAGCACAGGCAAAGUGAAUUUUAGGGUGGCAUGACUGGUAUGGACUUAGGUACUGGGUAACCAACCAUGGUGUUUCCAGGCAUGAAACAGGAAGCCUACUAUGUAAGAGGAAAAUUUCUCAAACAAAUAAAAGGCUUACAUUAAGUCAUGAUCAAGAGAGAAUCUCAACCUGUGAACCAAUUUCUAGAGUUGAGCCAGUUUGCAGACCCAGAUCUCCUUGAAUGAGGGAGUGGCCAAGUUCCACUGAUUAAGGACCUUGAUAAGACACCUAAAAGUUUUACUGUUAGUCUUUCUCCUGUCCUUCCCCAGAGGGACCUACGGGCUUUUAGAAGGGAAAUUGUACACGAGGGGAAGGAAACUAUCAGACUUCCUGAGGUCUACUGAAUGCUGUUCUGAACUGACCCUGGUUCUGGGAAACCCCUAGAGACAUGGUGGCCCAUCAGUUAAAGUCAGAGCUUAUGAUAGGAGCCAGGUGAUUAAUGGAGUUUAGGCUAAAGUCUGACUCAUAGUAGGCUCAGGGAGAGCCUGAAUUUCUCCUGUGGUUAUUUCCCAAGUCCCAGAAUGUAUAAUCGGGAUAGAUAUACUUAGAAGUUGGCAGAGUUCUCACACUGGUUCCCUGGUCUGUGGUGUGAGGGCUAUUAUGGCUGGAAAGGCUAAAUGGAAGUCUUUAGAGUUGCCUCUCUACCAUGGAAAAUAGUGAAUCCAGGAACAAGUGUCACCGUCAAGGACUUGGGAGACAAAGCGGGGAGAGGGGCUCCCAGGUCUCCCUUUAGCCCUCCUACCUGGCCUGUACAGAAUAUUUUGGUAAGAACCUGUUUGCACAGAUAUUUGUGUUUUCUUCACUAAGUUUCUUUAUCAUACAGUGUAUCAUCAAUUGAGAUAAUAUCAAUGGUUCUCACAUUUAAGUUAUGAGGUAUUAAAGUAACUUUCCUCAAAGGACAUUGCCACCUAUUCUAAAAUGUAUAAUGAAUUUGUGGUUGUACAUGUUCAAGUUAUAAAUUA